rnacentral:rRNA from 1 species
GAUGAACGCUAGCGGCAGGCCUAACACAUGCAAGUCGAGGGGUAGAAGGAGCUUGCUCCUUUGAGACCGGCGCACGGGUGCGUAAUGCGUAUGCAAUCUACCUUGUACAGGGGAAUAGCCCAGAGAAAUUUGGAUUAAUGCCCCAUAGUAUAUAACCUUCGCAUGUUGGUUAUAUUAAAGUUCCAACGGUACAAGAUGAGCAUGCGUCCCAUUAGUUAGUUGGUAAGGUAACGGCUUACCAAGACGAUGAUGGGUAGGGGUCCUGAGAGGGAGAUCCCCCACACUGGUACUGAGACACGGACCAGACUCCUACGGGAGGCAGCAGUGAGGAAUAUUGGUCAAUGGUCGCAAGACUGAACCAGCCAUGCCGCGUGCAGGAAGACGGUCCUAUGGAUUGUAAACUGCUUUUAUACAGGAAGAAACCCUCCCACGUGUGGGAGCUUGACGGUACUGUAGGAAUAAGGAUCGGCUAACUCCGUG